UUUUAUUUUUGUCUAAUUUUUUUUGUUAUAAUAAAUUUAGUAUAUUAAGAAUUAUAUUUAAUUAAAUUCUGUUUAGGAAUUAAUUAAUUAGUUUAAAAUAAUUUUUUAGUACCUUUUGUAUCAGGGCAGUUUAAUUUAUAAAUUUAUUUAAUUUUCCCGAAAUAAAUAGAUUAAUUUUAUUUUUAAUUUUUUAUGUAUCAAAAUGAUUAUAAAUUUUUUUUUAGUAGUUAAAAUCUAUUCGUUAUUUAUUAUAUCUGGUUAAGUUAGAUUAAAUUAAAUUUUAAAUCUUUUAUAUUUUUUAAUUAAUUUAAAUUGGUUUAAUUUUAUAAGGGAUAAUCUUUAUAUUACUAUAUAAUUUUAAAUUAUUAAUUUUUAUUAGUUUUUGAAUUUAAUAUUUAGUUAUUAAUAUAAUGGAAUUUUUUAGUAAUUAUUUUUUCAGAUUUAAUUUUUUAUAACUUUUAUUUAACAAAUUUUAAUUUAUAUUUAAUAAUGAUUUUAUUAGUAAAAUUUAAAAUUUAUAUUAAAUUAAUUCGACAAAUUUAAUUUCCAACUGUUUAUCAAAAACAUUUCUUUUAGUAAUUUUUAAUUGAAAGUACAUUCUGCCCUAUGAGUAACUUAAAUGGCUGCAGUAUAUUAACUGUACAAAGGUAGCAUAAUCAUUAGUCUUUUAAUUGUGGACUGGAAUGAAGGAUUAAAUGAGAAAUUUAUUUUAUUAGUAUUAUUUUUUGAACUUUAUUUUUAGGUAAAAAAGCUUAAUUAAUUUUUUGGGACGAAAAGACCCUAUAGAACUUCAUUAUCUAGUAAUUUUUAAAUUUUAAUUUUUAUUUAAUUAUUAUUUAUUUAAUUUAAUUGGGGUGAUUAAUAAAUUAAACUUUAUUUUAAAAAUUCAUUUUUUUAUGUAUCUUUUGAAUAGAGUACUAUUAUAAGAUUUAGUUACCUUAGGGAUAACAGCGUAAUUUCAAUGAAGAGUCCAUAUCUAUAUUGAAGUUUGCGACCUCGAUGUUGAAUUAAGAUUAUAAUAGGGGGUAGAUUUUUUAUUAUUAAGUCUGUUCGACUUUUAAAUUCUUACAUGAUUUGAGUUCAAACCGGUGUAAGCCAGGUUGGUUUCUAUCUUAAAGUUUAUUUAAUUGAUUUAGUACGAAAGGACCAGUCAGUUUAUAAUUGUAUAUAUAAUUUA
rnacentral:rRNA from 1 species